AGAGUUUGAUCAUGGCUCAGAUUGAACGCUGGCGGCAGGCCUAACACAUGCAAGUCGAGCGGUAGCACAGAGAGCUUGCUCUCGGGUGACGAGCGGCGGACGGGUGAGUAAUGUCUGGGAAACUGCCUGAUGGAGGGGGAUAACUACUGGAAACGGUAGCUAAUACCGCAUAACGUCGCAAGACCAAAGUGGGGGACCUUCGGGCCUCAUGCCAUCAGAUGUGCCCAGAUGGGAUUAGCUAGUAGGUGGGGUAACGGCUCACCUAGGCGACGAUCCCUAGCUGGUCUGAGAGGAUGACCAGCCACACUGGAACUGAGACACGGUCCAGACUCCUACGGGAGGCAGCAGUGGGGAAUAUUGCACAAUGGGCGCAAGCCUGAUGCAGCCAUGCCGCGUGUGUGAAGAAGGCCUUCGGGUUGUAAAGCACUUUCAGCGGGGAGGAAGGCGGUGAGGUUAAUAACCUCAUCGAUUGACGUUACCCGCAGAAGAAGCACCGGCUAACUCCGUGCCAGCAGCCGCGGUAAUACGGAGGGUGCAAGCGUUAAUCGGAAUUACUGGGCGUAAAGCGCACGCAGGCGGUCUGUCAAGUCGGAUGUGAAAUCCCCGGGCUCAACCUGGGAACUGCAUUCGAAACUGGCAGGCUAGAGUCUUGUAGAGGGGGGUAGAAUUCCAGGUGUAGCGGUGAAAUGCGUAGAGAUCUGGAGGAAUACCGGUGGCGAAGGCGGCCCCCUGGACAAAGACUGACGCUCAGGUGCGAAAGCGUGGGGAGCAAACAGGAUUAGAUACCCUGGUAGUCCACGCCGUAAACGAUGUCGAUUUGGAGGUUGUGCCCUUGAGGCGUGGCUUCCGGAGCUAACGCGUUAAAUCGACCGCCUGGGGAGUACGGCCGCAAGGUUAAAACUCAAAUGAAUUGACGGGGGCCCGCACAAGCGGUGGAGCAUGUGGUUUAAUUCGAUGCAACGCGAAGAACCUUACCUGGUCUUGACAUCCACAGAACUUUCCAGAGAUGGAUUGGUGCCUUCGGGAACUGUGAGACAGGUGCUGCAUGGCUGUCGUCAGCUCGUGUUGUGAAAUGUUGGGUUAAGUCCCGCAACGAGCGCAACCCUUAUCCUUUGUUGCCAGCGGUUAGGCCGGGAACUCAAAGGAGACUGCCAGUGAUAAACUGGAGGAAGGUGGGGAUGACGUCAAGUCAUCAUGGCCCUUACGACCAGGGCUACACACGUGCUACAAUGGCAUAUACAAAGAGAAGCGACCUCGCGAGAGCAAGCGGACCUCAUAAAGUAUGUCGUAGUCCGGAUUGGAGUCUGCAACUCGACUCCAUGAAGUCGGAAUCGCUAGUAAUCGUAGAUCAGAAUGCUACGGUGAAUACGUUCCCGGGCCUUGUACACACCGCCCGUCACACCAUGGGAGUGGGUUGCAAAAGAAGUAGGUAGCUUAACCUUCGGGAGGGCGCUUACCACUUUGUGAUUCAUGACUGGGGUGAAGUCGUAACAAGGUAACCGUAGGGGAACCUGCGGUUG
rnacentral:rRNA from 5 species